rnacentral:misc_RNA from 1 species
UUUAAGUCUCCCAGGUUUUUCUCUCCUUUGCUUCUUUCUCUCUCUGUGGUCCUCUUUCUUUUCUUCUCUUCCCUGGAGGAUAUGGAGCUUGCUUUGAGCUUAGGUGAUACCUCCAAGCCCUUCAAGUUUCUUGACCAAACCCCUAAGAUAUCAACUAAAGAUCCAGGGUUUUGCAUGGGAUUAGAAACUGGAUUUACUGCAACUCCAAGAUCCCAAGAUAAGGUAGUUGAUUCUACCCUUCAAGGUGAAGCUGCUGCUGAUGACACAAGAGCCUCAUCAGAUCUUCCUGUUCAGCUUAAUCUUUUACCCUUCUCUCCGGUUCCCCGUAGACGGCAGGUCCCAUCUCAGAUUCCUUUUCCAUGGCUCUCAGAUAACUGUAUGUAUACCUUUCUUGGUUUAUUAUUCUGUUUGUAUGCUAAGAAAUCUAAAGAAAGAGCAAUGGAAACUUUAAACUUCUUUUUAUUUUAUCUUAUCUUUCUUCUUAUUUUUCCCAGAAAGCAAAACUCCCUCCCUCCCGCCCCACACCCCACCCCUUUUUUUUCCUGUGAUUUUAACGCAUCACAGAUUUUGCUAUGGUUUUAAAGAUCUGGGUAUUGCAUGUUUCGCUUAUUAAUUAGCUUGCGGGUUAUUGUUGUUUCUUAACGUCACAGUGGUGUCUGAACCGGGUUCCACAGAUGGAUCAGGUAGGGGGUUUGAUGUGAACAGGCUGUCAGCUGAGGAGGCAGAAGAAGGAGCAGCGUUGUCGUCGCCCAACAGUGCUAUGUCGUCAUUUCAGAUGGAUUUUG